rnacentral:lncRNA from 1 species
GCAGGAGAUGGUGGCGACACCACAGGAGUUAUUGGAGAUGGUGUAUAUCCCGGUGGAGAAGAGUGCGUUGGUGGUGGAGAGGAAGGUGUCAUUCCCGGUGGUGAUGGAGAGUUGGGUGUUCCCGGCGGAGAAGAGUGUGUUGGUGGUGGAAUGGAAGGUGUCGUUCCCGGUGGUGAUGGAGAGAUAGGUGUCGUUCCCGGAGGUGAAGGAGUGCUAGGUGGCAAUGCCGGUGGUUCUGGAGAUGUAGGUGUUGUUCCCGGCGGUGUUGGAGAGAUAGGUGUCGUCCCUGGCGGUGACGGAGUGCUAGGUGACACUGCUGGCGGCGAUGGAGUAAUAGGCGUCGUCCCCGGCGGUGAUGGAGAGGUUGGUGAACCUCCCGGCGAUGGAGGAGAGGAAGGUGAAACUCCCGGCGGCGAUGGCAAAGGCAAAGAAGGAUUAAAAGCUUUACACCCAAACGACUUACAAUCCACCGGCUUGGACAAAAAUGACGCACAUUCCACCAGAGUCUUCUGGAACGGCCUCGCCGGCAAACAAUUUCUCCUAUCAUCAGACGCCGGCAAGCCAAAGCACGCCGGAGGCUCACCAGUAAAGAAAUUAUCCGAAAACGUAAAGUUCUUAAGAUUAGGCAACAUACAAAUACUUGACGGAAUUUUACCAGAGAACAUAUUAUGCGCCACAUUAAGCUCCUCCAAACUCACCGCACCGCCAAUAGCAGCCGGUAAAGGACCCACCAACUGAUUAAAACCCACAUCGAAAACCGUGAGAUUCUUCAACAACCCAAUCUCGGAAGGUAAACAUGACUUAAACAAAUUGUUCAAGAAAUUGAUUUCGUUUAAGUUGGACAUGUUUCCUAUACUGGAAGGUAUGCAUCCUUUGAAUUUGUUGUUUGCAAAAACGACAACUGAAACAGGUGAAUUACCAAGAUUUUCUGGAAGAUCAAAAGCAAAACGGUUGUCGUUUAUGAAAAUAGCAUCUAAGUCUUUGUCAAACAACUCUUUUGGGACCGUUCCUUCAAAUUCAUUGAACCUGAUGUCCAAGAAUUUAAGAACUGGUAAGCUUAAAACAACUUUUGGAAACUUCCCUGCGAAUCUGUUGUUACUGAGAUCUAAUUCGAAGAGAAGUUUCAAUUUUUGAAAAGUGUGUGGUACAGUGCCACAGAAUCUGUUGGAGUUAAUGUGGAAAAGUGCGAGAUCUGUUAGAAGACCGAGUUCAUCCGGUAAAUAACCGGCAAUGUCGGCAUGGUUGAGAUCAAUACCGGCGACGGUGCGUAUGUUUGGGUUGUCUAGUGCUUGAGCACAGUAAAUGCCGGUGUAGCUGCAUACAUUGGAUCCAACCCAGUUGGUUGUGAAGUUCAGUGGAUCAGAGAGAAUGGCUUGUUUCAAAGCUUGUAAUGCUAUGUAAGCAUUUUGGAUGCGGUUGUUUUCAAAGACAAGAGAUGGGUUGUCUAUGGUUUGGGCUGAGAGGGAGAGUGUGUUUAUGGUUAGAAGCAGUGUAACUAUGAGGAGUGUUUGUGAUUUCUUCAUCAUCGUGUUAAUAAACCAAAUGGGGUAAUUAAUUUCUUCAACUUUGCAUUUCUUUUAUGGAAUGUAUGUUACCUUUGAAAUGCAAGGAAGAUGAAGUUUGUUGGUGGCUGAGGAUUUAUAUUUGUAUGGAUUUUGGAGGUGUGAGUGAGGUUUAGUAUAUGUUUUUUACAAAACCCAACUUCAUGAGAAAUUUAAGGACCUUCUUCCAAUUUAUUCCAAUUCCAACUAUUGAGUAUACGCGUUGCCUGCCA